rnacentral:lncRNA from 1 species
CAAUCUAUUUCAUAUAACUAAGCAUUAUUCUAACAAACAUUAUUUUUAUCCCAGGACUGAGCAUUAGCAUAAGAUGCCAGAUUUUAUUUUCCCACGUUUAGCACUGGCACUGGCACUGGCACCAGCAGUGUCCGUAAGCACUGGUUUUCACCACGUUAUUUCUUUCAAAAGUCCCAUUAAUACAACCACGUCCAAAAGUCCCAUUAAUACAACAUGUAACAGAAUAUUGUAAUCGUACAGUGUCCGCCUGUCCGGUUAGGUUCAUAGCCAUUGUACAAAAGUCAGGAGCUUGGUCUUUCCUUGCUGCAAUUGGGAAAUCAAAAUAGGUUAAUUCAUACGAUAAUUUACAUUUUGUAAAUAUACACAAACAACUCAGGCAAUUUUGCAAACUCUAGGCUCAGAUAUCAACGACGUAGUCGUAUACAUAGAAUAUGAUGGAUUUAUAUUACGAAAGAGCAUUUCACAACGCAAACUUUGAUAAGAGAUUUUGGGCUUGGAAAUCAGAAAGCAGAGGAUUCAGGAGUAUGUAAAGAAGAGGAAACAUUUACAGCAUUUUACAAACUUUAGAACAUGCAGCUACAGACAGCAACCACGUGAUGUUACUGCUGAAAAUGAUAGAGCAAACUAUUGUAGAUUAACACAUACCUCAGGAUUUGGGGGUUGGACUGUUGGGAGCAUGCAUAUAAUUUCAGAAAUCAGCACCCUAGAACCAAACUGGUUACCAUAAUUUAAACCGUUUGCACUUGAAGCUAAGAAUAGGUAAUAACAUUUGAAUUCAAGAAUUAGUAAUAGUAUCUUUGAACAGAAUGCAUUCUGCAAUUUGAAUCAGCAGAUAUCAUCAGUAUGAAAAUAGGAGCUCUGCAAAAUGUAUGUCAAGAGUACACAGUGGUCCACAAAGUUGAAUGAUGGUGAACUACCGAGAAACCUAAGCACGCAACAUAUAUCAUAUAAUCGCUAAAUAUUUAGCCUUUAAGGUAGCGAUAUUUUGCAGUGUCAGGUAACUAAAAGUCAAUCAGCAGGAGUUGAUUGAGCAAUUACAGAGAUGGUGCAAGUCAACAAUUGUAACAGUACUUGUAUUGCCAGAUCAACUGUAAAGCCAAGCAUGUUAACCAUCCAUAAUAUGGUAACUAACAAAUAAAGGAUAAAAGUCUUCUCUGACAUCAUGGCAGCACAGACAGAUACCAUACAACUCAGUUUUUAUUUCAUAUUUCAUAAAAGCACAAGAAAAUGUUCAUGGCAGCCUUACUUUAAAAAAAAAAGGAUCACAUUGUUGUGUAAGCUAAUCUCUGUUCCAAUUCCCAGCAUGAAUGUAAUAAAGCUAGUGCAUCUCAGAACAUGGACAUGAUGAUGAAGUCUUAAGUGGUGGCUCAAUGCAAGUAGCAAGUAUAAUUCAACCAGCAGCAAGCAAAGUUGCUGGUAACACAAGUUGCCAGUAAAGGGUGGACGACGAGGGGCUGACAUGUUGGUCUGGCUGAUUAGGAUGCUUCUUCAGAAUAAAAGUUGAUUAGGUGGAAGAUGAUACUUUGGAUUUUAAACUGUUUUCAAUUUCAGGAUGAAAAAUAGAAAAGAGCUGAGGACUCAAAUUGGACUUCUACUUAGUUUGUCACAUAUCCAGCCUGCAGGCUCCGUAUCUAGGCGCCCAUCAACUGCGGAGAUGUAAGAGAAACAAUCGCACACCAAGAACCCCGUAAAUUGGAGAAACUAUACGAUGCUCUGGUCUAAAAAAACUAUACGAGUCGAGUCAUGACACGAGACGCGAUCGGCGCAUCGGGCUGCCGACACAAGACCAAAGCCCCUACCUCAGCGACAAACGGAAGGAGCGCACGAAAACCCUAGCGACAGGCGCACGGGAGGAUGAAUCUGCCCGCACGAGCUCUAACCCUAGGGCAAAGCAUCUGCUGCGAGGAAGGAAGGGGAGGAAGGAAGGGGGUGGAGAGAAAUGGCGUGGGCAGCUGAUCCCUCACCUGUCGGGCGCGGUCGCUUCUCGGAGGCAGCCCCAUGCGCCCGUAGCCCCCGCCGCCACCGGUGCGCAGGACUCGUGCGCGCCCGGCAAAUCGAAUCGAAACGUGCCCGGAUCGAUCAGCGGAGUCGACGAGGAGGAAACAGCCAAGUGGGGUGGGUUAGGAUUUGAGGCGGAGCAUGCUCCUUCGCUUGCCUUCGGGGAUGGGGAAUCGCAGAUUGGGGAUUCGAGGGAGGCAGGGAGCGCCGGAGCGGAAGGUAGAAGACUCUGGAACAAAGCUGUCCGAACUCCGAACGGGGGAAGAAGGGCGGCGCGAUGCGG